UGCUAUUCAAAUUAGCCACACCGUGGGAUGUAAGGAGCUCUCUGAUUGGCUGGUCAGACACAGGCUGUCUGCCAGCCUGGAUUUUUCUAGCUCAUAGCUUCGCCCUGCUACGAAGCGUGUGUGCUUGUACAAAGGCCGUUCAGCGUCGGGAUUUACACUCGGCUCGACACGGAUAUGUGAAGAAUGAAGGGAGCCUGCAGCGAAACGGAGAGCUAACCUCUGACUGAGUGCCCGUUUACUCAGUCUGACCACCUGUUGAAGGGCUGUUUGAUGACGAUUUGGACUCCUCUGGGUGAUGAGGACACACCCACAUCUGUUCCAUACUGCAGCCAUGGAUGGUGUUACAGCUCUGAGUCAGCUUUGGGCCAUCAGAUGCACACACUGGAAAACCAGCGCCUGUACUUCAUGCAGGAGAGAUGACCUCAGUGAUAAUUCAUCAGCAGCUGUGAAGAGAUGUAUUUGAAUAUCUUCUGGUUCCACUUUUCUUAACCUGGAAGCUGAGGAUGGCUAAUUCCUGACAAGGACACACACCUCAGCGCUUAUCAUGGGUGUUACAUCCUCUGCGCAGCAAUUCCAGAGAAAACGAGAGAGCAACGACCACACAUUAAGACCAGACAGAAAUCUGUCACUUUCUGGCAGCUGUGAAAACUUCCAAUAAGAAAGUUUCUUAGAACAAUGCUGGGUCAUGUGUGAUGUGUCAUAUGAGGAUAUUACAUUUUGACUUAAUUCUGCUCAAUUAAGUGUUUUGUUCGUUGAUCCAAUAUGGCAGCUUUUUAUUGUGCUCCAAGUUAAAACUCAUUGUCCUCAUGAGCACAGCAUCUAACAACUCUCCUUAAAAAAGUCGAUUGACUUUAACUGGACACAAUGGUUUCCAGUGGGAGAUACAUUCAUCACUCAUCCGUGACACUGGAGAAGUCACCUGAGUGAGUGAUAAAGCAAUUUUCCAUGGAAAAUCCAGAGGAACUAAACUUUGUUGUUGUUUCUUUGGGCUCAAUUUCAGCUCUAGCAGCAUCUCUCAGAAGAAAACCGUUUUGCAAAUAAUCAGAUAAAAAGAUUGUUGAACUAGGUGGUAUUCUCUGGAGUUUAAGACCAAAACUGAACUCAAACAGUGAAUUGACAUUAGACUGGAAUUCAUAAGAUGAAUAGAAAUACUGCUGAAGCUGAAUGAUUCAUUCAUGUAUAUAUAUGACUUUUUUUCCCCCCAAUUCACCAGGUCUGUAAAGUUCAGUAUGACUGUGGUACAUGAUACAAAAGAAUAAAUACAGAAGAAUAAAAACUUUAUGUGAAUAACUUUACUCUUCUUAAAAAUAACUCAUAAAACAAGUAAAAGUACAAAUGUGUACAAGUUAGAGACUUCCUCAGUAAGUUUACACUCUUUUGGAGUGAUUUUAAUUGUGUGUUAAAGAGAAAGAGAUUAGGAGGUAAAGUAGAGGAUGCAGAGUCAAUCAUCAC
ensembl:lncRNA